rnacentral:lncRNA from 1 species
GGGGCUCCCAACCGUCACCGACGCAGCGGAUCAGAAUUGGGAGCCCCGAAUUUCAAAUUAGCGGGGUUUUUAUUGUGGUUACAGCGAGGUUUGGAGAUUUUCCACUUAGCAGAUUGGUUGGCAUUUAGCAAGCAUGAAGUGUAUAUUUCUGAUUGGCUAGGCCCAUCGGGGGUGUGAGGGGUGGUUACAUGUAGGUUUUAUGGGGUAAAAGAGGGACAAAGGUUAGUGGUCGACUGUCACGUACUAAUGGUCAGCACAUUGACAGAUUGUUCUAUAGAUAGUGGGCCCGGAACGUUCAUUUCCUGGGCAAACAGAUGGUUGAGUAAUUAACUUAGGAACUUUGCUUCUUUACAGAUUGUGUCUUUUGUCCCAGAGCAAGCACAUUUUAACCAUUAAUUUGUGAGGACAAUAGAGACUAGGGGAAUAGUGGAUUUUAGCAAAAUGGAGUCGCUUUGGUCUCACAGUUACAUUGGAUAUGGCUGAGGAUGUAGCAUUAUCACCUCUAGGGAGGACCAAAGGGAAAAAAAAGUCUAUGAUCCCCUCAGGUUCUGUACCUGCUAGAGACACUACAGGCAUAUCAUCUGUCAUCAGUCCCAAGAAGAAGAUGUCACUCAUUCAAGACACUCAGUUCCCAAUUGGCAGAUAGUGAGGAAUCUUUUAAUGUUACCAGAAAACAUCUCCAUGGCUCUACCCUUCUGGCCUGUGUUCCAUAAGAGAUGGCUGUGGUCAGUCAUCAUGCAGUGGAGAAAAAUAUUUGAAGAAAUAGCCAAAGUUUCCCCAAGUCUGGUGACCAACAUAAAUUACAGAUCCAAAUAAAACCCAAUAAAGUCCAAGUAGGAUGAACACAAAGAGAACUACAUCUUGGAACAUCAAAAUCAAACUCUGAAAACUAAAGAUAAGGAGACAACAAUAAAAGUAAGGGGAAGAAAACCCAGAACAAAAAACCAACAGAAAGACACAUUACCUCUUUGGACUGAAUGCUUGCGUCCCCUCCAAAAUUCAUUUGUAGAAAUCUAAUUUGCAAUGGGAUGGUAUUUGUAAGUAGAGCCUUUGGGAAGUGAUUAACCUAUGAAGGUAGAGCCUUGAUGAAUAAGUUUAGUGCUGUUAUUAAAAAACAAACAACAACAACAAACUAGUCAGUUAGCUGGCUUGUGCUCUUUCCAACAUGUAGAGAUACAAUGAGAAGUCAUCUACCCACAACCAGGAAGCAAGUGGAUACCAGAUCUGUAUGAGUCUUAACUUAGGCUCCCCAGCCUCCAAAAUUUUGAAAAUAAAUGUCUGUUGUUAAAGCCACCAGUCUGUAUUUUUUCAGCAGUCCAAACUAAGACAAUUCAUAUGGGAGAAAA